rnacentral:rRNA from 1 species
AGAGUUUGAUCAUGGCUCAGGAUGAACGCUAGCUACAGGCUUAACACAUGCAAGUCGAGGGGCAGCAUCAUCAAAGCUUGCUUUGAUGGAUGGCGACCGGCGCACGGGUGAGUAACACGUAUCCAACCUGCCGACAACACUGGGAUAGCCUUUCGAAAGAAAGAUUAAUACCGGAUGGCAUAGUUUUCCCGCAUGGGAUAAUUAUUAAAGAAUUUCGGUUGUCGAUGGGGAUGCGUUCCAUUAGGCAGUUGGCGGGGUAACGGCCCACCAAACCAACGAUGGAUAGGGGUUCUGAGAGGAAGGUCCCCCACAUUGGAACUGAGACACGGUCCAAACUCCUACGGGAGGCAGCAGUGAGGAAUAUUGGUCAAUGGACGAGAGUCUGAACCAGCCAAGUAGCGUGAAGGAUGACUGCCCUAUGGGUUGUAAACUUCUUUUAUACGGGAAUAAAGUUAGCCACGUGUGGCUUUUUGUAUGUACCGUAUGAAUAAGGAUCGGCUAACUCCGUGCCAGCAGCCGCGGUAAUACGGAGGAUCCGAGCGUUAUCCGGAUUUAUUGGGUUUAAAGGGAGCGUAGGCGGGUUGUUAAGUCAGUUGUGAAAGUUUGCGGCUCAACCGUAAAAUUGCAGUUGAUACUGGCGACCUUGAGUGCAACAGAGGUAGGCGGAAUUCGUGGUGUAGCGGUGAAAUGCUUAGAUAUCACGAAGAACUCCGAUUGCGAAGGCAGCUUACUGGAUUGUAACUGACGCUGAUGCUCGAAAGUGUGGGUAUCAAACAGGAUUAGAUACCCUGGUAGUCCACACAGUAAACGAUGAAUACUCGCUGUUGGCGAUAUACAGUCAGCGGCCAAGCGA